rnacentral:lncRNA from 1 species
AGCUGCUUCGGAUAUGAGCUUGCAGAUGCGGGAGGGCAGCCGAGGCUGAUUUCAGGGGAGGGCUUCACAGAAGCUGGUAAAUAAACUAUAUUUUCAUCCUUAAUGACAACAGAAUUGUCUACCAUAUUUAUUUACUAUGCUAUUGCUAAAUGCCUGCCUUCUGCAGAAACUAAACCCCUUUGAGUGGAAUAGAAGGUAAAAAUGCCUCCUAAUGAAGAGGGUCACAUCCGGUGCUCUCCAACUCUAUCGUUCUUCCAUUUUACGAUCUCUAGUUUCUGGUCUUGAUUGGUGCUAUAGGGGCUUCUAACAUUCAAGUUCUGGUUUAUGGGACUCAGUGAGCUUUGACAUGUGCUACUUCUUGGUGUAAUUUUUAUGCAUCUACAUAUUGCUUGUAGCUGCUUUCAUACUGCAGUGGCAGAGGUAAGUUUUUGGAAUGGAGGUUCUAUGGCCUGCAAAGCUGAAAAUAUUUACUAUUUGGCCCUUGACAGAGAAAGUUUGCUGACCUCUGCUUUACACUAACAACAAUUCCUUGCAAAUUUAUUUUCAUCUUUGCAAAUGACAAUCGCUAGCUAGCUUUCUGUCUGUCUUCUAAAAAAAGUCAAAAGAUGGUACAGGAACAUAGUAGAUAAUCAAUUGUGUUCACUACUAGUGAAGAGGCAUUUCUUUAUCUGUAGGGACACAUUGCAUUUUGGUUACAUUUUUGGUGGUACUGUGGGCUUUGCUACUUCAGGCUUCAGGGUUAUAUAUGUGUCUCAGAGCCAGCCAUGCCUCCAGGAACUUUGCAAGGGCCUGCUUGGGGGUAGGUGUAGGCAUGUAUAGAAAUUGCUUUUAACUAACGUUUGGUUGUUUUCUGGCAAGGCUUAGAACACACGCUAAGUCUCCUAGAUGUGAUUUGAGAAUCAAAAGAGAAAAAUGCAUGUAAAGUGCUUAGUACAUUGAUUGGUACUUACUAAGUUAUCAAUAAAUGUCCAAAAAAAAUACCAAAACAAGCCUGGGUGCUGUGGCUCAUGCCUGUAAUCCCAGCACUUUGGGAGGCAUGUGGAUCACUUGAGAUCAGGAGUUUGAGACCUGUCUGGCCAAUAUGGUGAAGCUCCAUCUCUACUAAAAAUACAAAAAUCAGUUGGGUGUGGUGGCACGCACCUACAGUCCCAGCUACUUGGAAGGCUGGGGCAGAAGAAUUGCUUGAACCUAGGAGGUGGAGGUUGCAGUGAGCCGAGAUCGCGCCAUUGCACUCCAGCCUGGGCAUUGCAGCGAGACUCCAUCUCAAAAGAAAAACAAAUAAACAACAAACAAACAAAAAACAACCCAAAAAUUGCAUCUCAAAAUAAUGGCAGGCACUGUCUCAGAUUUUCACAAUGUUAGAACAUCAACAGGAAAGUCAUGUACUUAGGAAACAUUUCCAAGUGUGAAAUGAGUUUGGAUCCGUAUCACAACAUUGCCGAAAUGGUGGCUCUACAGCAGUGGGUCUCCACCAGGGCAGAUUUUGCCCCUAUUUGCAUCUGGUGGGUAAGGCCCCGGGAGCUGCCACAUCUUACAAUGUAUAGGACAGUCCCCACAGCAAACAUCACCUGGCCCAAGAUGUCAGCAGUGCUGAGGGUGAGAAGCUGCUCAAGGAGAUGGAAGGAAACAUUCUGAAAGAAAAAAUAGGAGGAUGAUAUGACUGAUCUUAAAUAUGUAGACAGCUUCCCUUGUAUUGUGCUUUCAUUCCCUUUAGACUCUUACAGGGAGUUCACUGAAUUUCCAAUGAGCCUCUUGAGGCACGGGGCUGUGGGUGCUGCUGAACAGGACAGCUGGGUAUUCUUGGCAAGCUCUAGGAGAUUCUACUAUUGUAAAUUUCUCUACAAAGGUGAUAUUGACUUAAAUUCCUCUCAUCACUGUAUGAAUGUUCAUGUUCCUUUAUACUGUCACCAACAAAAGAUAGUCUCAAUUUUUUGCCAACUGGUAGAUAGUAAAGUGCCAAUAUAUUUUUGUUUUUAUUGCAUUUUUCCUAAUUGGUCUCACUAUAUUGCCCAGCUGGUCUUGAACUCCUGGGCUCAAGCUAUCCUCUUGCCUCAGCCUCCUGAAGUGCAGGGAUUACAGAUGUGAACCACUGUGCCCAGCCUGUCUUUUUCUUAUUUACUUGUAAUGGUGCCUUAUGUAGAAUAGAUUUUAGCUCAUUGUUGGUAAUAUAUGUAGAUAGAGUGCCUUUUGCCAUUUAGAAGUUUAUGUGACCAAAUCCAUUGUUUUAUUCUAAUGAAGUUUUAUCUAUUUUGAGUAUUAUUUAUUUUGAGAGGAACUUCCCUCCUUAGCCCUGCCCCCAGGUUUGUCACUAGAGAUGGAUAGCAGCUCCAGUGGGGGCUUGAGUCCUCUCCAGUGAGGUGGGUGAGGCUGCUGGCCAGGCCUGAGCAGGGUGGACCCUUAGUUCCAGGCCUGGCCACUUGAAAGGCUUUGUUUGUCCCCAGGGCAGGCCACCUGGAGUCCAGAGUCACACUGAGUAUGUGGUUGGGGCCAAGGGCUGAACACCAAGGGCAGGGAAGGAUGGAAGGGGCAGCAAGUGCAGGCACCCUUCCCCUGGGCAUCAUAGGGUCUUGGCUCCAGAUUUGCAGAAGGCCCCAGAACCCCCAGAAUUCCAAGAAUGGGCCUGGUGGGAGGGCGACAAAGAACUUGACUCAGACGAUGAUAAAUGAAAGAUGAUGAGAACAGUCCUCUUGGCUCAAAAGCAAAAUUCACAUUUCUGAUUAUGACUUUGCAAGUACCAGCAUUUUAGUGGUUCUCAAACAAAUUCAUUUAAAGAAAUUUGUUGAGCACCUACCCUCUGCCCUGCAGAUAGCAGUGAACAAAACAGCAAUUAGAUAGACAACAGAGACUUGGAAGGGUGAGAAGUGGGACAGGGUGGAAGAUGAAAAAUUACUUAAUGGGUGCAAUGCAUGUUAUUCGGGUGCUGGCUACCCUAAAAGCCCUGGCUUGAUCACAAUGCAAUUAAUGCAUGUAACAAUUGCACUCGAACCCCAUACAUUUAUACAAAAACCCCCAGUCCUCACUGAGUCUCAGUAUCCCCCCCAGUGUGGCUGUCUGUCCCCAAAGAUCACCAACCCCGUCACUCACCC